rnacentral:tRNA from 1 species
AAAAUCCGUCGAUUUUCAAAAUCGUGAGGGUUCAAGUCCCUCUAUCCCCAAAAAGCCUGUCUAACUCUUUUG